ACUCAGCUGACAAGUCUCAAAUAAAACGAAACAUGCGUCCUGGAU
rfam:Schistosoma rodhaini strain Burundi genome assembly, scaffold: SROB_scaffold0002963